UACAGAGGGGGCAAGCGUUGUUCGGAAUUACUGGGCGUAAAGGGCGCGUAGGCGGCCUUCCAAGUCGAACGUGAAAUCCCCGGGCUCAACCCGGGAACUGCGUCCGAGACUGGAAGGCUCGAAUCCGGGAGAGGGAUGUGGAAUUCCAGGUGUAGCGGUGAAAUGCGUAGAUAUCUGGAGGAACAUCGGUGGCGAAGGCGGCAUCCUGGACCGGUAUUGACGCUGAGGCGCGAAAGCCAGGGGAGCAAACGGG
rnacentral:rRNA from 1 species